GUGCACAUCGUUACAGAAAUUGUAUACCAUCCUGGGGCCAUAUCCUUGUGAUAGAAAAGAAAAUGUCAUCCAGUCUCAUGAUAAUGACUGUCAUAAAUAAGGGAAAUGGAAUGGCAAGGACAAUUAACCCACACUCUUCAUCAUGAGAGGGGCAGAGGGAGAGAGAGGGAAUUUUAAGCAAGCCCCAGAGCUCAGUGACAUACUUGGCCUCACAACCCUCAGAUCGUGACCUGAGCCAAAAUCAAGAGUUGGAUGCUUAACGAACUGAGCCACCCAGUUCAUCUUUCCUGGGUUGGCCUUCUGCCACACUGGCACCUGAAAUGCAGCAAACAAUGCAAUUGGAUGCUGAAGG